UGGGAUAUAGCCAAGCGGUAAGGCAACGGUCUCUGACUCCGUCAUGCGAAAGUUCGAAUCUUUCUAUCCCAG
rnacentral:tRNA from 1 species